rnacentral:lncRNA from 1 species
UCCUUGGGUACUUUCUCUAGCUCCUCCAUUGGGGGCUCUAUGUUCUAUCCAAUAGCUGACUGUGAGCAUCCACUUCUGUGUUUGCCAGGCCCCAGCAUGGCAUAGACUCACAAGAGACAGCUAUAUCUGUGUCCUUUCAGCAAAGUCUUGCUAGUGUAUGUAAUGGUGUCAGCUUUUGGAGGAUGAUUAUGGGAUGCAUCCCCGGGUACGGCAGUCUCUAGAUGGUCCAUCCUUUCGUCUCAGAUCCAAACUUUGUCUCUAUAACUCCUUCCAUGGCUGUUUUCUUCCCAAUUCUAAGAAGGGGCAAAGUGUCCACACUUUGGUCUUCGUUCUUCUUGAGUUUCAUGUGUUUUGAAAAUUGUAUUUUAUAUCUUGGGUAUUCUAAGUUUUUGGGCUAAUAUCCACUUAUCAGUGAGUACAUAUCAUGUGAGUUCUUUUGUGAUUGGGUUACCUCACUCAGGAUGAUGCCCUCCAGGUCCAUCCAUUUGCCUAGGGAUUUCAUAAAUUCAUUCUUUUUAAUAGCUGAGUAGUACUCCAUUGUGUAAAUGUACCACAUUUUUUGUAUCCAUUCCUCUGUUGAGGGACAUCUGGGUUCUUUCCAGCUUCUGGCUAUUAUAAAUAAGGCUCCUAUGAACAUAGUGGAGCAUGCAAUACCUCUCCUGGGCACAUAUCCUGUGUUCUAUCUUAUAGAUGACUGUGAGCAUCCACUUCUGUAUUUGCCAGGCACUGACAUAGAAUCACCAGAGACAGCUAUACCAGGGUCCCUUCAGCAAAACUCAAUAAUUUCUGGGUUUGGUGGCUGACUAUGGGAUUGAUUCCCAGGUUCUCUGGAUGGUCAAUCUUUUCGUCUCAGAUCCAAACUUUGUCUCUGUAACUCCUUUCAUGGGUAUUUUGUUCCCUAUUCUAAGGAGGAAUGAAGUAUGCUCCAGUUGGUCUUCCCUCUUCUUGAUUUUCUUUUGUUUUGCAAAUUGUAUCUUGGGUGUUCUAUGUUUCUGGGCAAAUAUCCACUUAUCAGUGAUAAUGACAUAUCUAAGCAUAUCUAAGGACUUCUUUUUUGAUUGGGGUACCUCACUAAGCAUGAUAUCCUCCAGAUACAUCCAUUUGCCCAAUAAUUUCAUAAAUUCAUUGUUUUUAAUAGCUGAGUAGUACUCCAUUGUGUAAAUGUACCACAUUUUCUGUACCAAUAUAUACAAAGAGCUCAAGAAGCUGGAAUGAAGAAAUUCAAACAACCCCAUUAAAAAAUGGGGUACAGAGCUAAACAAAGAAUUCUCAAAUAAGGAAUAUGGAAUGGCUGAGAAGCACCUGAAGAAAUGUUCAAUAUCUUUAAUCAUUAGGGAAAUGCAAAUCAAAACAAUCCUGAGAUUCCACCUGACACAAGUCUAAAUGGCUAAGAUCAAAAAUUCAGGUGACAGCUGAUGCUGGCUAGGAUGUGGAGAAAGAGAAAAACUCCUCCAUUGCUGGUGGAAUUGCAAGCUUGUACAACCACUCUGGAAGUCAGUCUGGAGGUUCCUUAGAAAAUUGGACAUAAUACUACAGGAAGCUUCAGCACUACCUCGUCUGGCCAUAUACCUAGAAGAAGUUCCAACUUCUAAUAAGAACACAUGCUCCACAGCCUUAUUUAUAACAGUCAGAAGGUGGAAAGAGCAGAGAUGUCUCUCAACAGCAGAAUGGAUACAGAAUUAUAUAGUAUUUUAAAUAGCAUGGUAUUUUAAUACUUGUGCCUUAAUACAAUGGCAUCUAUUGUAUAUGAAAGCAUUAGUAGAGAGACAGAAUUGAUUGGGAGGAAAGAAAAGGUGAAUGGGGGAAAAUUCAGUCAUUGUCAUAUAGUGUAUUUGGUUUCCCUGGUUUCUAUUUGACACUGACUUACUUCUUUCCUAGUUUUGUUUUGUUUUUCUGUACAUAUGAAGCAAUGUCUUCCUUUGUUUUCCAGGACACCUAACAUAUAUUAUAUACUUGUUUCAGCCUCCUUGGUCCUGAAAUUAUAGUCUAAACCUACCAUACCAGGCCUCUGCGUAUUUUUUUUUAAUUGUGAAAAAGUAAAUAACAUCU